rnacentral:rRNA from 1 species
GACGAGUGGCGCACGGGUGAGUACGCGUACAUACCUGCCUUCANGAGAGGGAUAGCCCUGGGAAACUGGGAUCAUACCUCAUAGAAUUGCUAAGUCGCAUGGCUGUGCANNNUACAGUUCGGCGCUUGAAGAUGGAUGUGCGUACCAUUAGCUAGUUGGUAAGGUAACGGCUUACCAAGGCAACGAUGGUUAGGGGGCGUGAGAGCGUGACCCCCCACACGGGUACUGAGACACGGACCCGACUCCUACGGGAGGCAGCAGUAAGGAAUAUUGGACAAUGGAGGCAACUCUGAUCCAGCCAUCCCGCGUGCAGGAUGAAUGCCCUACGGGUUGUAAACUGCUUUUAUUUGGGAAGAAACCUGGUCAUUUACUGAUCAGUUGACGGUACCUUAUGAAUAAGCACCGGCUAACUCCGUGCCAGCAGCCGCGGUAAUACGGAGGGUGCAAGCGUUAUCCGGAAUCACUGGGUUUAAAGGGAGCGUAGGCGGCAUAAUAAGUCAGAGGUGAAAGGCUGUAGCUCAACUAUGGAAUUGCCUUUGAUACUGUCAUGCUUGAAUCGAGUUGAGGUCAGCAGAAUGUGACAUGUAGCGGUGAAAUGCAUAGAUAUGUCAUAGAAUACCCAUUGUGAAGACAGUUGGCUGGACUUG